GACGUACCACCCAAACGUUAUUCGGAUUCACUGGGCUUACAGAGUCCGUAGGCGGUGAAGAAAGUUAGGCGUGAAAUCCCUCAGCUCAACUGAGGAAUAGCGCUUAAAACUACUUUGCUAGAGAGGGUCAGAGGUGAGCGGAACUGAUGGUGGAGCGGUGAAAUGCGUUGAUAUCAUCAGGAACACCGGUGGCGAAAGCGGCUCACUGGGGCUUUUCUGACGCUGAGGGACGAAAGCUAGGGGAGCGAACGGG
rnacentral:rRNA from 1 species